rnacentral:lncRNA from 1 species
CUUCCAGUUGUUAGACACUCCACUGGGACAUUCUAGCCCCUGUUUUCUGUAGCCACAGUGGCUGGAUACCAUGAUCUAUCUGUGUAUUAGUUCAUAUUCUCCAAGAAGCCGAUACCAAGACAAGAUGAAGUGUGCAAGUAUUUCAUUAGGGGACAUGCCUACAUGAAAGGAACUAGGAGGAAAAUGGAGUAGGCCAGGAGAGCAUUCAGUUUGUGAUGCAAAUUGACUUCCAGUGAAGGAGAGAGGAGGAAAAGAUGGAAGCUCCUAGACUGUCCUUCUGGCUUAGGAAGGUUUGGGAAAGCCACCAAGGGCAUCUUAGCCAAAGUCACCCAUCAAAAAGGUACUGUGUCUCUUAGGAAAGGACCUGCCUUAGAAUCCCCUCAGCCCCAAUCACAUUUAGCCAUUGGUAGAGAACAGCCUGUGGGAAAGGGGCCUUGGCACAUACCCACUGAUAGAUUUCAGAGUGCACUAGAUGGAGUUUCAGUCAAUUACAUCCCCUGGAGUCACAGGUGUGCCAGGUGCAUGCUCAUGACCUUCACAACUUGUCAGUUUGGACUUUCUUCCAGCACCCGAAGCUGGGUCUGUACCCCAAGGUGCUAGUCUCACUCUACAAACAUGCUGUUUUACCUUCAGGUCCCAGUCUCUCCUAGCCUGCUUUAUCCAGCUGGAAUCAACAGACAGCCAGGUCGGGCCUUAUCAUGAGCAGCGUUUUCAAGUGUGAAUUCCUUCCUGGCAUUUCUCCAGAAAUUUAUAUGGACUUCUAAAACCCGAAUUCCAAGAAAAAUUCAUUGAAACAUUGAGGGAAUGAGAAAAAAUGUUACAAUUCUCCUUGAAAAGUUAAAACUGAACAAUCAACACAAAGACAUAACUGGUUUGAUGGAAGCCACUGACAAAAAGUCAAAAGAGCAGGAAACUCUGACAUGGAGUCAAAGAUCAAGGCUGGAAUUUCCAGAACCAUGACAGGAGUACAGAACAGUGGUCAUGAGCUAAUCAGUCAGCCUUUCUUGCAGCUGUUGCCAUGUUAUAUGUGUGUGUUUGUUGCAGAUAAAGUAAAUAUUAAUAAGUUUAUAUGCAUAGUAUGCUUUAUAGAAAUCAUAUGAUUGCUCUUCCAAAAAAAAUAACAAGUUUUUUAAGCAAAAUAAGUCCUUUAACUGGCAGUUUCCACAUAUGACUCUGGGAAGUGAUGUUAAUUUUAUUAGGAGAUCUGAAUGUGAGGUUAUUCGUAUAUUACCCAAUAAUAUUUGUCAGCAUUUUUCAGUGUUUGAAUAUUUGUUAUAAAACAUAAUUCUUGGUAAAAAAAAAUAGUAAACUGAAAAUUCCUUUUUAUUACAUCAUUUUAAUGUCCAUAAUAAUAAGAUAUGAAGAAUGGUGGAAGUAUUUAAAGAAUAACAUAUGACUUAGAAUAAUUUGUGAAAUUUCCAAGAAUUCCAGUAUCUCAUUCCAAGUCUUGAAGACUAGAAAUACUGUGAGAUAAAGCUUGGGAAUUCUCCAGGAUUGAUUAGAGAAAUGAUGAUGACUAAAAUGAGACUGCUGUUUUCGCUUUUAUCCAAUCAGAACUCAAUCCUCUUAGCCAAUCUAAACUUUAAUCUCAGUGCUGUGAGCCUAAUUUAACUGCUUCUUCAGAAUAAGGAAAAUAAUUACACCAUGCAAAUUUCAAUUGUGAAUUUUCCCAACUUAGGAAAAGAUCAAUAGUUUUAAAUAUUUGUCCUCUAUAGGGCUUGGCAACAACAUGGCUAAAAAUAAAAGCGAUAUUACAACUAAAAAGAAAAACACACCACUAUAGCCAUGCUAUUGCUGCAGAAAUUUUCAUAUACUUGACCUCUGAUUAACAUGUCAUCUCUCUAAAGAGCUAUUCUCAAUUUUACUCCAGUGUCUUAGUCUGCACAGGCUGCCAUAACAAAAUACCAUGGACUAAGUGGCUUAAACAACAUAAGUCUAUUUCUCACAGCUCUAGAGGUUGGGGAGUUCAACAUCAAGGCACUGGCCAGUAGGGUUCCUGGUGUCUCUCUGAGGUCCUUUCUUAUAACAUCACUAAUUUCAUCAUGAGGGCCCUACUCUCAUGGCCUCACCUAACCCUAAUUAUCUCCCAAGGACGCCAUCUUAAAUACCAUCCUGUUGGGUUGUAGGGCUUCAACAUGAGAACCUGGGGUGGAGGACACAAACAUUUGGUUCAUAACAUCUGACAUGGCUUUCUUGAGACCAGAACCAGCUCAUGAAAAGAGUCCAAUCAGAAAAAAGAAAUUGAGACUGAAGUGGUUUAUGUACAAUGCCAAAGCUCCCACACGUAGUGCAUGGAAAAGGAGCCCUCAGAACCUGGGCUUUUCGAACUACAGCUAUGUCAUUGGAGGAAAGAGAACAGCUCAGCUCUCCAAAUUGCAGUAACUGUUGAGCUAAGGUGAUGACGUCAAGGGGAAGGAAGAAAGAGCACUGUCUCAGGUAUCAGCACUCACUGCUGUAAUUACAAAUGUCUUCCCACUCUGAACUCCAGAAAACUCUCCUCACAUUUCAGAACUAUCCCAGGCCUGCUCUCAAGAAGCUAUUCCUGAUUUUACUCCAAGGUGGCUUUCCCAAGACCAGAACCAGCUCAUGAAAAAAGAGCCCAAUCAGGAAAGGGUGGUUAGACUCUAAUCACCCUGGGCAGUCCCUGCCUCUUCUCCUUGGUGCUCCUCAUUCCCCUGCAGAUGAAUGUACUUCCAGCUGGACUUAAGAGAAGCAACGGUGUCAAACAACGACUCAUUAAGAAAUACACACCUGUCAUAAACGCAAGACCCUCUCAGGGGAGAUAUUGAAUUGUGUUCCCUGCUUCCUAUGAAAAGGUGCAAUGAAAAAAAAAAUUAACUAUCAACUACCAGAUGUUUCUAGCAUCUCUAUUAGUUUGAGAAAGAUGAAACAAUUGCUGCAUUGUACAGAUGUGUAACUCACAGAAGUAUUUUGGAUGUGGGAGGAAGGCUCAACUAAAUGUGUCUUGAGAAUAAUUGAUCUUUUCUUUUUGGCACUGCUUCAUAAUAACAGGAAGAAAUCUCCUCCUCUCCUUGAAUUGACACAUUUUUUACCAACACUAAGAAUAAAUGAACAUAUAUUUAAAGGUGCAAGCAUAUGGAUAUGCAUUUUUCAGUCUGACUUUGCUUCACUGCAUCAAUUAUAAUUAUCUUGAACUUCCUGGUGACACUCAUACAUGCACGUUUCAUGAUUUGAAAGCUUUCUAGUUGUAGAAAGCUGUAAGUACUGUAAAUCCCAUUCUCCAAAUAGUAAGAAUGGAGUCUGGUGAGGAGAGGUUGUGUGGUCAAUGGUAUAGAGAAGGACAGAGCUAAAACUAUUAGAGCCUAUGCUCUAUAACUAUUAAGAGACAAUAUAUACAAAAUGUUUGAGUUACUCUUGUCCUCACAAGCAAUGCUCGAUGUUCUAGUAUAUGGAGAAGUCAUCAAUAUGUGCUAUUCAAGAAAAGGGUCAGGAGUACACAGUGGCAACAGCCUCAACUUCUGCCUAUGGUUCCACAUUAUUGCAUCUCCCAAGUGAAUGGGCUUUGGCUUCAGCCCCUUGUCAUCUCAGUGCCACAGGAGAGCUAAAGAAGGGAAAGCAGAGGGGGAAUGCCAUUUUAUGUCAUGGAGUACAGGGCUCACAAACAGGCUUUAGCUCAACAUGCCAAAUCUGAUGGAUUUUCUCUAGUGGCUGUCCUGGCUCUAACUGGAAAAGGAUUCUGAGGUUGUAUCUGGGCUUAGGCAGGAAGAGAGGUGAAAUCUAUUAGCAACAUUUGCCAGU